AAACAGAGGAGCCAGAGCGCUCAGAGACUUACCCUUAUGUGAUGGACAAGUGAGGAAAGAAAGAAAUUUUGCUGCUAGGAAAAUAGAACCGGCUUUCUGCUCAUCCGCUGAUGUCGGCUUUAUCGUGACGACCCUUUUCCUUCCCAGAGCAGGGAAUUUCUGCCUCCCCAAUCCCAAACAGCUGCUGGGAGAUCAUGAGCCCCAAGUUACUGCCUGUCCUGAUUCAACCCCCACAUCACAAGCGCCAAUAACAGAGCUCACAUCCUCCUCACAGACACACGGACACAGUUGAAGCAACCACCUCCACUCUUCCCAGAAGGCUGGGCCAGGGAAUCGCAACAUGGAGGGUAAUGAAUUCUCUCAGUAGGAAGAAGAGGAUUCUUGUUUGUUAAUCAAGUCAUGUCCUUGGUGAAUUCCACAGCUGGGGUCCCCAUGAUCUAGGACACAUGGGAGACCCUUUCUCCUUUUCCGGGACUCUGGGGGAGGUGACCUUCACAGCACUUGCCUUUUAUUUUGUUUUCCCAAGAUUGAUUGAUUUCAGAGAGUGCGAGAGCAGGGGGAGGGGCAGAAGGAGAGAGAGAGAAUCCCAAGCAGACUCCCUACUGAGCGUGGAGCUCGGUGGCGGGGCUUGCUCUUAAGAUGCAUGAGAUCAUGACCUGAGCUGAAAUCACGAGUCUGUUCGUGUAACCAACUGAGCCCGCCAGGCGCCCCUACAGUGUUUGCCUUUUGAAAUUCUGAAAGGCAGGUUAUAAAUAAAUUUCUUUCUUCUUCUUCUUUUUUUAAAUAGCUUGAUGUUAUCUGUUCUCACAUGUAUAAGCAGAGCUAUUCAUGUUUUGUGUCCUGUAUGCAAUACUCUCCCAGCAAUGACUGCCCUGCACUGGAAUGAAUCUGUCUUGUCUCUUUCGCUCACACAAGUCCAAGAAGCCUGUGAGGGCAGAGAUGGGUGCUCCUCCGUUGUUUGCUUUCAAUCUGUUUCCCUGAGUUCUCGAUCCUGAUACAGCAUCUUGAUAUACUUAAGUGAGCUGAAUUACAGGAUGAGAACUCUGGCUACAUCUAUGGUAUAAUAAAAAGCUAGGCGUUUCAAAGAUUUUGACAAGAACAGCAAAAUCAGUGAAUUCCAUUACAAUGAUUAAACAGUUGGACGUGUGGGUUUAAUGUGGAUGAUUUUCUGUUGUGGAAGUUUAGUGUUUACUCACUAUAUGAGAUGAGUACCUACUAAUAGGAAAACCAUUUUUUUUUUAAACUAGAUAAUCUCAGACCCAGGUAUUUUACCGUAUUCUUAAUUAUCUUUGUAAUGAAUUUUUCUUAAGUUUAGUAAAUUUGCUAUAUACUUACAUAAAAUUAUAUUUGUAAUUAUGUGUGGUCUUUGUGUUUUACCUGUGAUAUGUAUUUAUA